UCUUAGUUCGGAUUGAAGUCUGCAACUCGACUUCAUGAAGUUGGAAUCGCUAGUAAUCGCGAAUCAGCAUGUCGCGGUGAAUACGUUCUCGGGGUUUGUACACACCGCCCGUCAAACCACGAAAGUGGACAAUACCCGAAAGCGAUAGCCUAACUGCGCAAGCAGAGGGAAUCGUCUAAGGUAGGGUCGAUGAUUGGGGUUAAGUCGUAACAAGGUAUCCCUACCGGAAGGUGGGGAUGGAUCACCUCCUUUCU
rnacentral:rRNA from 1 species